rnacentral:rRNA from 1 species
AUUGAACGCUGGCGGCAGGCCUAAUACAUGCAAGUCGAACGCAGUGGGGACGGGUGAGUAAUACGUGGGUAACCUCCCAUCAGAGGGGAUAACACUUGGAAACAGGUACUAAACCGAUACUGAUGCAUUGACCCGCGGUGCAUUAGCUAGUUUGUGAGGUAACGGCUCACCAAGGCCACGAUGCAUAGCAGACGUGAGAGGGUGAUAGGCCACACUGCGAUUGAGACAAGGCCCAGACUCCUACGGGAGGCAGCAGUAGGGAAACUUCGGCUAGGGACGAAAGUCUGACCGGGAAACGCCGCGUGAGUGAAGAAGGUUUUCGGAUCGGAAAACUCUGUUGUUAGAGAAGCGGUAUCUAACCAGAAAGCCACGGCUAACUACGUGCCAGCAGCCGCGGUAAUAC